CACCACGAGCCCCUGAUUUAAGAAGCAUGUGCACACUGGUGCCCACUCCCGGGGUUCUCUAGAGCAUAGCUCUGCUCCCAGAGACUCCAGCCUGGCAACCAGGGCCAGUUCCAGUAGUCCCCACUACCCUGCUACCAGACCCCCAAGUUCAGACCGGUAGCCCCAAGCUGUAUUCAAGGCUCACUGUCCUUUCUGAGGCCGCCUGGAGAGGCAGGUUUUCAGGCAGAAGAACCCUUUCACUCACAGGUCUUCUUCCAACGGCCCUGGCCCAUCACCCAGUGCCAAGGGCAGAGCACCCACUCCCAUCUUCCUAUGGCAGCUUAGCACAUCAUCCCCAUCAAUUACUUUUAUGUUUUCCAAAGGCUCCCAGAAUUCUUGGAAGAGCCAACUCUGAGAUUAAGUUGCCCCCCUCUAAGAAAGGGUAUGUACCCUGCUUUCAUGAAGCCAAGUCUUACCAAAUACUGUUGGUGGCUUUCUAAGAGAUGGCCCAGAUCCCUGUCUCCAUACCUCUUGCAGACUCCCUCUUCAUUAUUUACCUGCCUUCCCUAAAUUUGAUUUCCUCAGUGGCCAGCACAGACUUUGCCUCCGAAAUGCCUGCACCCAUUAGAGUCUGAUGGCCAAAGGUUGGUCCCAAAUGCUGCUUUCUAAGAGCUCCCAUCUCUAAUACCUCUGAAAAAUAAAGCGGUCCGUUGGGAAGCAAACAGGACGGCUGGAGCUACAGAAUGCCUGACUGCUCCUGUGUUAGUAUUGACACAGGCAAGGGGCCUGGCCCUGAGCUGCUGGCUGGCUCCUUAGAGAAAGCAAGCUCUGUUUUGAAUAGUGGAGUGGAUUCCGGGAAUGCUGGGGAGAUGCAGGUAACUACGUCCCGUGAAGUUCCCAUUUAUUUUUGCACCAACCUGACAUUCCCAAAUGAACUGGGCUGUCAAGGUUGUGACUGAUCUUCCCUUUUCCUUGCAAUGACAGUCUGUGUCCCCAAGUUAUUCAGUGCUGAUUCUCCUGGGAGUUAGGUCUAAGCAUAUCUUCUCAAAGACUCCCAGAGACAGGACAGAAAUGACGCCUCAAAGCCACCUUCCGCUGUGUGUCAUAACAGUGCACGCAAACAGGAAAAGCAUAUAUAUGUACUUGCAUACAUAUAUAUCUAGCAUGGGAUGACUCAAGUUUCUAACAGUGCCUGUGCUUUGAGAUUUUAGAAUGGUUGAGUACUUAAAAGACUGCAGCAUGAAUACUUCCAUUUGUAAUGAGUCUGUUAAGUCACUACUCAGAAAAACUAUCAGACACCCGCACCAGGGUCCAGUGGACUCUUUACACAGGCCCACUGGUUUUUAAAAGACUUCCUAUUUUAGUAAGAUCAUUUGGGCUCAUAGCUCAUUUGACUUACAUGUAAUUUUGAAUUUCAUAAACUUAGGUUACAGGAAGGAAAAGUGAACCAAAGAAAGAAGUGUUUGGCUUUGCAGGUUUGAGAACUCGGACUGUGGUCCUAAAAGGGAGGUUUGGUGCUCUGUCUCCAGAAACACCUGCCUUGGUUAGUUUAAAUGUUGACCCGCCCGAUUUAAUUGAGUGGAGAGACCCAGUGAUCUAUGGAGCCCUUUCCACAUCUGAGUUCUUAGGAGCUACCCACCCCAUGUGUGAAACAAGCAGCAAAAUAAAAAAUAAUGCUAAAGCAGCCAGGGGAAAAAAAUGUAUUGCUAAAAGCACAAGUUAGUUUUUGGCCCAGCACUUGUAGCAGCUGAUGUUUUCAUUAAGUUCUUCCAUUUUCACCAUUGCCUCUUGAGAUAUACUUCACAUUCCAGACACAGAGCAGUGUGGCCUGGAGCAAAAAGGGGCAGAGAGAAUAUAAAUUACCAGCGGCUCGCUAAGGCAAAUUCUUUGUGUGCAUUUGCCAGACAGAUAUUUGGGGGAAAACUGAGAAGGUUAGGAGAUCCCUAAAGCAAUGCAAUUUUUUAUUCCAGUACUGUGGAAUUAUUUUUAUAUCCGAGAGGACCCCACAUCUCAGCAUGUGAAAAUAUUUAUAUCCAGGGCAAAUAAGCUGUACCCUGGGCUGCAGUCCUGCAGUCGACUGUGUGGAGUCAGCAUUUCAGUCUUUUCCAGAAUGUGACAAUUACAGGAAAACUCAGAGCUCUGCCCGCUGAACAUCAAGCAGGAGGCUUAUCUGCUGCUGCUUUCAUGGAAAAUUCAAACUUAGGAUAAUGUCACUGUGAACACUUCCUUCAGAAAAGUAAAAACCUUCAGGCAACUUCGCAAUUUAGGAUUAGUUUCCCCUUUAAAAAAGAAAAAUGUUGAUCCUGUGAGCCGUAACUCCUAUAAGCAAAUGCUUGGGAAAAGAUUUAGUGACUACAGCUUUGUCUCUGAAGAAACUGCUGAAACCGCUUGUGAUUCUGCAUGUUUUCAAAGCUGGCAAAGGACAUAUGUCAGGAGCCUAUGGAGAGAACCAUAUGAGAUGGGUGUCUACUCCAGAAUUCUCUAAAACAUUCCACUCCAAGACACUUGGCUAUAGGUGGGAAGGUGAUGUUCUUCUUCUAUUGUGCACUAUUUUUUUCCUUCCCUCUUUUUUCUAUCAAAGAAGAAAAACUGUAGUUUGUCAGAUCACAUCCAUUAUUGCCUUUUCAACUUUCACAAGCUCUCCCAGGCAAAUUAAAUUGGACCUUGUUUCAGGUGUGUUUGUUUUUAAAGCCUGAGAAAAAUCUGUAUGUUUAGUUUUAGGUGGCCAAGAUGAUCAGUAUUUCUUAGAAUCCCUCCAAUUGAAAUUGGAUCCAAAACUUCAUAAAGGACUGUCUUCUAAUUUCCCUCAAGGCUCAAAAUCAGGAGACAGUCUUCAUUUUUUACUUUUAUUUAGGCAAGAAGGGAAAUGAGGGGUUUUCUUGGGGUUCAAGUAAUGCUUUAUAAAGUUGCCAAUUUAAAACCCCAAGUUUUAAUGUCUUUGAGCAAUGUUCCUUUAUAAUACACAGCGGUGGUAAGUUGGAUAACCCUGUGGGCUGUCCUAUUUGCUGAGAAGUUGUGUUGUUUUGAGAUGCUUAGCAUUUUUAAAGCCCUUACCUUUUUUGAAUAGAGUCUUAAAAAUACAUUCCAUUCCUAGGAUGUUCCUCCAGCGGUACAAAAUGUUCCGUGAAAUUGCCGUGAAGUGUGUUGACUCUUGUCCUCUUUCACUUGUCCAUGGAAAAGAAUAAGAAUAUGAGAAUGGUUUAUUGAGUCCACACCACACACCAGAUGCUGCUCUGGGUGUCCGCCCGCUUCCCCUCACAGCUGCAGUGUGUGAGACGAGAUUCCACACUGGGCUUUCUUCAUGUACUUCCCCCUUUCAAAAAUGAGUAAACUGAGGCUCGGCAUCCACACGCUACAGUAGUUAGUAUUGAAGCUACUUUAAAUAGCUUUUUGGAAUAAGUGAAGUAAGUAAAUAACAAGUAACUGUAUCAGAAAGUCAGGAUUUGAACCCAGGUUUGUUGGGCAUUUCUCAAAACCCUUGCUUUUUCCCUGGACACUAGGCUGCCUUUUUUCACAACAGUAAACAUUGACUUGCUGCUUUC